GAUUAAGUUAUUAAGGGCGCACGGUGGAUGCCUUGGCACUAGAAGCCUACGAAGGACGUUACUAACGACGAUAUGCUUUGGGGAGCUGUAAGUAAGCUUUGAUCCAGAGAUUUCCGAAUGGGGAAACCCAACACGAGUUAUGUCGUGUUAUCGAUAUGUGAAUACAUAGCAUAUCUGAAGGCAGACGCGGGGAACUGAAACAUCUUAGUACCCGCAGGAAGAGAAAGAAAAAUCGAUUCCCUGAGUAGCGGCGAGCGAAACGGGAAGAGCCCAAACCAACGAGCUUGCUUGUUGGGGUUGUAGGACACUCUAUACGGAGUUACAAAAGAACAAAUUAGACGAAUCAUCUGGAAAGAUGAAUCAAAGAAGGUAAUAAUCCUGUAGUCGAAAGUUUGUUCACUCUUGAGUGGAUCCUGAGUACGACGGAACACGAGAAAUUCCGUCGGAAUCCGGGAGGACCAUCUCCCAAGGCUAAAUACUCUCUAGUGACCGAUAGUGAACCAGUACCGUGAGGGAAAGGUGAAAAGUACCCCGGAAGGGGAGUGAAAUAGAACUUGAAACCGUGUGCUUACAAGUAGUCAGAGCCCGUUAAUGGGUGAUGGCGUGCCUUUUGUAGAAUGAACCGGCGAGUUACGAUUUGAUGCAAGGUUAAGCAGUUAAUGUGGAGCCGUAGCGAAAGCGAGUCUGAAUAGGGCGUUGAGUAUUUGGUCGUAGACCCGAAACCAGGUGAUCUACCCAUGACCAGGCUGAAGUUCAGGUAACACUGAAUGGAGGGCCGAACCGACUUACGUUGAAAAGUGAGCGGAUGAGUUGUGGGUAGCGGAGAAAUUCCAAUCGAACCUGGAGAUAGCUGGUUCUCUCCGAAAUAGCUUUAGGGCUAGCCUUAAGUAAUGAUUAUUGGAGGUAGAGCACUGUUUGGACGAGGGGCCCUUAUCGGGUUACCGAAUUCAGACAAACUCCGAAUGCCAAUCAAUUUUAUCUUAGGAGUUAGAACGCGGGUGAUAAGGUCCGUGUUCGAAAGGGAAACAGCCCAGACCACCAGCUAAGGUCCCAAAAUAUAUGUUAAGUGGAAAAGGAUGUGGCGUUGCCCAGACAACUAGUAUGUUGGCUUAGAAGCAGCCAUCAUUUAAAGAGUGCGUAAUAGCUCACUAGUCGAGUGACACUGCGCCGAAAAUGUACCGGGGCUAAACAUAUUACCGAAGCUGUGGAUUGUCCGUAAGGACAGUGGUAGGAGAGCGUUCUAAGGGCGUU
rnacentral:rRNA from 1 species